GACGAACGCUGGCGGCGUGCCUAACACAUGCAAGUCGAACGGAAAGGCCCUGCUUUCGCGGGGUGCUCGAGUGGCGAACGGGUGAGAAACACGUGAGUAACCUGCCCUUGACUUUGGGAUAACUUCAGGAAACUGGGGCUAAUACCGGAUAGGAGCUCCUGCUGCAUGGUGGGGGUCGGAAAGUUUCGGCGGUAGGGGAUGGACUCGCGGCUAAUCAGCUUGUUGGUUGGGUAGUGGCUUACCAAGGCAUUGACGGGUAGCCGGCAUGAGAGGGUGGCCAGCGACAAUACGACUGAGGGACGGAGCAGACGGGAACGGUAGGCAGCGGUGGAAAAUAUUACACAGUGGGGGGAAGCGUGAUAAGAAGGCGCCGGGUGCGGAAAGACGGCCUACGGGUUAUAAACCGCUUUCGCCUGUGACGAAGCGUGAGUGACGGUAAUGGGUAAAGAAGCACCGGCUAACUACGUG
rnacentral:rRNA from 1 species